rnacentral:pre_miRNA from 1 species
ACUCUAGUAUUGACCCCAAUCCACAUGUAUUGAAGUGGAUUGGGGUGUAACUUAAACUAAUUUACACUCUAAUCCACCUCAACACAUGUGGAUUGAGGUCAAUACUAGA